UUGHUUACGUCCCUGCCCUUUGUACACACCGCCCGUCGCUGCCCGGGACUGAGUUGUUUCGAGAAAUGCGGAGACUGCUACUUUGAAAUUUUUCGGAUGCUCAUUUGUUGGCGGAAACCGCCUUAAUCGAAAUGGCUUGAACCGGGCAAAAGUCGCAACAAGGUUUCCGUAGUGAACCUGCGGAAGGAUCAUUAU
rnacentral:rRNA from 1 species